rnacentral:rRNA from 1 species
GUGUCAGCAGCCGCGGUAAGACAGAGGUUGCAAACGUUGUUCGGAAUCACUGGGCAUAAAGCGCACGUAGGCGGCUAAUUAAGUUAGGUGUGAAAUCCCCCGGCUCAACCGGGGAACUGCGCCUGAUACUGAUUGGCUUGAGAACGGUAGGGGUGAGCGGAACUCCAGGUGGAGCGGUGAAAUGCGUAGAUAUCUGGAGGAACACCGGUGGCGAAAGCGGCUCACUGGACCGUAACUGACGCUGAUGUGCGAAAGCUAGGGUAGCAAACGGGAUUAGAUACCCUCGUAGUCC